rnacentral:tRNA from 7 species
GCUCACAUAGCUCAGUCGGCAGAGCGUCACCUUGGUAAGGUGGAGGUCGUCGGUUCGAUUCCGAUUGUGAGCUCCA